CUGGGGGGGUGCUAUACAUGCAGUCGAGCGGACAGAUGGGAGCUUGCUCCCUGAUGUUAGCGGCGGACGGGUGAGUAACACGUGGGUAACCUGCCUGUAAGACUGGGAUAACUCCGGGAAACCGGGGCUAAUACCGGAUGGUUGUUUGAACCGCAUGGUUCAGACAUAAAAGGUGGCUUCGGCUACCACUUACAGAUGGACCCGCGGCGCAUUAGCUAGUUGGUGAGGUAACGGCUCACCAAGGCGACGAUGCGUAGCCGACCUGAGAGGGUGAUCGGCCACACUGGGACUGAGACACGGCCCAGACUCCUACGGGAGGCAGCAGUAGGGAAUCUUCCGCAAUGGACGAAAGUCUGACGGAGCAACGCCGCGUGAGUGAUGAAGGUUUUCGGAUCGUAAAGCUCUGUUGUUAGGGAAGAACAAGUGCCGUUCAAAUAGGGCGGCACCUUGACGGUACCUAACCAGAAAGCCACGGCUAACUACGUGCCAGCAGCCGCGGUAAUACGUAGGUGGCAAGCGUUGUCCGGAAUUAUUGGGCGUAAAGGGCUCGCAGGCGGUUUCUUAAGUCUGAUGUGAAAGCCCCCGGCUCAACCGGGGAGGGUCAUUGGAAACUGGGGAACUUGAGUGCAGAAGAGGAGAGUGGAAUUCCACGUGUAGCGGUGAAAUGCGUAGAGAUGUGGAGGAACACCAGUGGCGAAGGCGACUCUCUGGUCUGUAACUGACGCUGAGGAGCGAAAGCGUGGGGAGCGAACAGGAUUAGAUACCCUGGUAGUCCACGCCGUAAACGAUGAGUGCUAAGUGUUAGGGGGUUUCCGCCCCUUAGUGCUGCAGCUAACGCAUUAAGCACUCCGCCUGGGGAGUACGGUCGCAAGACUGAAACUCAAAGGAAUUGACGGGGGCCCGCACAAGCGGUGGAGCAUGUGGUUUAAUUCGAAGCAACGCGAAGAACCUUACCAGGUCUUGACAUCCUCUGACAAUCCUAGAG
rnacentral:rRNA from 1 species